rnacentral:rRNA from 1 species
UAGGGAAUCUUCCGCAAUGGACGCAAGUCUGACGGAGCAACGCCGCGUGAGUGAAGAAGGAUUUCGGUUCGUAAAACUCUGUUGUUAGAGAAGAACAGCGCAUAGAGUAACUGUUAUGCGUGUGACGGUAUCUAACCAGAAAGCCACGGCUAACUACGUGCCAGCAGCCGCGGUAAUACGUAGGUGGCAAGCGUUGUCCGGAUUUAUUGGGCGUAAAGCGAGCGCAGGCGGUCAAUUAAGUCUGAUGUGAAAGCCCCCGGCUCAACCGGGGAGGGUCAUUGGAAACUGGUUGACUUGAGUGCAGAAGAGGAGAGUGGAAUUCCAUGUGUAACGGUGAAAUGCGUAGAUAUAUGGAGGAACACCAGUGGCGAAGGCGACUUUCUGGUCUGUAACUGACGCUGAGGCUCGAAAGCGUGGGUAGCAAACAGG